UAAAAGACCAUCUAAGGAGUUGGAUGUUCAUUUUUUUUCUGAUGAUGUGUCUGACUUGGCUUCUGAACCACUCCACUGCUAAAAGAAAUCUUGUGUGUUGCUGGGGGUGUGACUGACUUACCUAGAAGAGGUGUAACUUGAGCUGAAAGAGGGCGGAGGUAGAAAGAGUGACACAAAUUACAGCAUUUUUCCCUUUUCCCGGUCAGAGGAGCAGAUCUCUGUCCAGGUUUGCACACAAAAAAACCCCCACAGAACAAAACACCAUUCAUAUCUUUGCUGUAAAAGAGGAACAGUUUCAUGGAUUGAGGAGCUGCAUGGAUUUUUGUGUGAAAUCUGAGAAGUCAUGAUGCCAACUUUAGGUGCAAAGAAGAAAGAAAAUCCAUCCAGAAUGGACAGACAAAUUACAGCCUUGCCACAGCUGAGCAAUGAGAUGCAGCUGAGCAUCAUGAACAAGGUGAAGAACGGAGAGUUGUCCAUCGAGGAUGCUCUGAACCAAGCUUGGAAGGACGAGGAGCAGCUGUUCAAAAUGCAGAGCCUGGCUGAAGAGGAACAGCUCCCAUCACAGUACAACUUCAGUGUUCACAAGCAUGGCCGCUACAGGUGGCAGAAGCGGGUUCUUCAGAUUGAUUUCAAGACAAAAAUGCUGUGCAGCAUAGAGAAAGGCAUCAUCAAGCGACAACUUCCCUUCUCCAUUGUCAAGAACUGUGAUGAUGGCGUCGGUUCCAGGUUCUCCAUUUCUUUUAAAGGACAUCAUGAUUAUGAAUUGGAGGCCACUUCACUGGAGGACAAACACAAGAUGAUGCAGCUCGUGAAUCAGAUCAUUUACGGGAACAUAUACACAGAUCCUGAAGAGGGCAAUGCGGAGACACAUCAGCAGCCUCAAGCGUCACAGUGCCUUCGCGAAGGCGUCUUGUUGCUGCACAGAGGCGGCCUGGCGUCAUUCAGAUGGGUGAAGUAUGAGGCCCAGCUCCACCCAGGCCAGCUGAUACUGGUCCCCUUCAGGCUGCGAGGCACCGCUGACGGCGAGGCGACGUCCUCGGUGCCCGUGUCCACCGUGAUUCACCUGUCAGAUGGUGACACCAGCAUACAGAAAUCUCAUAGCCCCGACACUUUCACCCUGAUCACCCAUAAAAAUGAGUACCACUUCAAGGUGCCUGUAUCAGAUCAAACAACUGCUCCAGGGGAUGUCCAGAGGGAGCAGGACGAUUGGGUCAACGCCAUCGACAAACUGUGUUCAGAGUGGAAGAGGAAGUCCAAGGGUGGACACAUGUUUAUGGAAACUCUGCGACAUCUCGGCAUAGACGAAGACGCAGAGGACACCGAUACAGAUCUCGAGUCUAGCGGUGGAUUUAGCGGCGUUAAUACGACUAAUAAUUACUCUCCAGUUGAUUAUCCAAAUUUGGUUCCCGCUUCUGGUGGCGGGGAUCAUGACAUGAGUCAAAGUUAUCCCCCAGCAGAUUAUACAGAGCCUGUCCCUAAACCUCGCAGCCCAGGGAAGACUGCUGUUCAGGUUGUUGGACCGGAUAUUUUGCCCUUUGUCCCGUCACCACCCUCUCCACCCUCACCCUCCCAUAUGGCACUCACACCUCCUCCUGCAGUCCCAGAGUCUCUUGGCCAUGAAUCAGAGUCGCCAAUUGUGAAAGUUCCUUCACCCCCGAGUAUCCCGGCCCCUCCACCUUUACCCUCCAAGUUUAAGACGAGCUCAAGAAAAUCACGCACCAAGGCUUUCCACUGGGACCUAGUUGGCUCAGAGAAGAUUGCAAAAUCAUUUUGGAUACAAGAAAGCACCAAGAGGAUUGAAAUCGACACAUCACGCUUAUACGAGCAAUUUGCUGUUAAAGAUCUGGGGACAUUUGGUGCAGCUGAGCCGAGUAAUACCCAGCAUAUUAUGCUCAACCAGAAGAUUGCACACAACUUCAACAUUUUCCUCAAAAGUUUUCCAGUGCAACCGGGAGAGCUGAAGGACAAACUGUUCAUUGUUAAUGAGGAAGAUGGAGGCCUGUCUGAUGAGCACAUCACCUCUCUGAGGAGGUAUGUCCCCACAGUGGAUGAUGUGGAAAUGUAUAAAUCCCACAAAGGACCUGUGACAGAGCUGCAUAUUGUGGACCAGUACAUGAUGGAGAUGUGCAACAUCACCUACCUGAGCACACAACUUGACCUACUGCUGACUCUGAGAGAACUACCGAUCGGCAUGAACGACCUGCAGCCUCUGAUUAACCAGAAGAUCAGAAUGUGCAAGGAGCUGUACAACUGCAGGUCAUUUGUUUCCGUGCUGGAGUACCUCCUCGCCAUUGGCAAUUACCUCAACGAGAACGCUGGAAAGGAAAAGGCCAAGGGAUUCCGCCUCUCCUCCUUAACUAAACUCUCCCAGCUCCGUGGGAGAGACAGAAAGUUCACCUUGCUGCAUGCCCUUGUGGAGCAGAUCAUGUUGCAUGAACCGUGCUUGGCCACUUUUACCCAGGAGCUGGCAGAAUUUGAAACUGUCCCGGGAGCUUCCAUCAAAGGCCUGACUGCAGAAGUAGAUGUCCUGAAGAAUGAACUGCAGAAAGUCAUUCAAUAUAAAAAAACUUCCAAGAAGAGAAAUGCCGGAGCUCAUCACGCAAACUUCUCCAAAGACCUGAAGAUGGCAAUUGAGAAAUACAACACGGAUCUCUCGGCACUGACAAAGACUUGUGAGGAGAUGAAGAAACUCUACUCUGUCAUACUGGUUAAAUUUGGGGAACCAGCGGAUCAAGACUCUCAAGAGCUCUUUGGGUUGAUCUGUCAGUUCAUCCAUGAAUUCAAGAGGACCCACGCUGAAAUAUUUGCUUUUAUAAUAUACAUUGGAUGUGAUGACGUGCAGCGUGUUAUGCUCAUGCACCUGGACGACAGGAUGACAGUGUCAAUUUUGUGAAUAUAAAACAGAUCUAUGUCACAUUAGUUCAUGUCAGAGGUGGGUUUGAUUUUGUUUGACUUCAUGUUUACUGAUGUUUGUUUUGAGACAAAUCAUUAAUGAAGGAUUUGAAACUCCUCGGUAGUAUCGAACGCUCGGAUGCUGAAGUGUGCUGCUAAUACCAAAAGCUCUCUGUUGGCAGAGGAACAAAACAGACAACACUUCAGAGGCCAGCUGAGGAUGGUGUACUUUGAGAGUGUGAUCCUUUUGAAGAUGCAGUCGUGCUAUGGUCAUUGACAUUUCCUAUCUCGGCACUCUGGGAGGAGCUCCAAGGCCACCUCUGAUUCAGUACCACAUCUGCACUGUGGCAAUGACAUGAUGAGCAAAACAAAUUCCCCUUCACAAGGUAGAGAGGUAAUCUUAGCUCUUGUUAUAACUGAUUUAUCUGUUCUUAGUCUGACGUUUUAAUCAGAUGACAGGAGAAACACAGUGUGCACUUAUAACUGUUAAUCACGGUGGUAUAAUGAACCAGACCCCUUACUGAGCCGGAAAAGUUGCACAUUUUGUUGUAAAAGGAAAAAAAAAAACAGUCAUUUUAAUUAAAUCUCUGCAUCUACACAAACUGGUGAUUCAUUAGCAGAAAACACACAAAACUAUUUCAUUAAAUGUUUCCUUCACAGAGCUUUAUCUCAUUAUUUUUUUUUUUAAAUUUCCAAUUUGUCAAAAUUGUAGCUGGAAGGAUCGUUACAGCUUUUUUUCCCCCCCUCCUGACAUAGUGUCUUUGUACUGCUUUUGAAAUUAAAAAAAGAUAAGUGACCUAACUGAGCGUAUACACAACAGAAACACUAAAUUAUACUGCUUUCCAUUUUCUUUCUUACUUUGGAAUUAGUGUCACUCACUUACUGGCCGCUUUAGACCAAAGAUUCACAGCGAGACGAGUUGAAACUUGCAACUACUUGCAAUGCAACGUUAUGAAAUCUGCCGGUUUACACCAAUGCGACCAGAUGAGACGGUUUUGUAGCGUCUUAAAAUAUGAAUGAGGAUAGUGACAGUGAGUUAUGUGCUACAGUUGCAGUUCUAGCAUUGAUGAAACAGCGAAAACAUAAAAAAAACAAGGGGGUUGAGAAUUGGGUGCUUUAAUGGAAUACCAAGGAGGUUUAUGCAAAUUUAUGCCAUGAACUUGAGACAAGAGAGGGCAGUUUGUUUGUUAAUCUUAUUGAAGUACAUUUUAAGGCUUGUAUCAUACAAAUAAACUGAUCCUCUCUUUCGUCCGUCCAAAACUCUGCCAUUUCGACCAACUGACAGUAACUGACCAGCUGAGUUUGCUACGAGCUGAUUGGCAGUUGAAACAGGUGACGUGCCUUACGUUUGAAAAAAACCAACCACUGGUGACUUGAUCAGCUGAGUCGCAGGUGACGCCACCAGCCGGCUUGAGUCAAGCUGAGACUGGCCAGUUUACACCAGUACGACUUUACCCUGCAACGUUCUGAAAUGGUUUUGUCUCAUCAUGAAGCUUUGGUGUAAACUGGACUUUAAAGUGAACCACAGAAACAUAAAUGUAAUAAUUCUGCAUAUAAGUUGCAGCCUGUAUUUCUCCAUUUUUCUUCCACUUUGUUGUUAUAAGAGUGAAACCUCAGUUUGUAUUGGCUGUUCUUCACUUUUCAGGUUUUACUGGGUUUUAGGAGGUCUGUAAAAAAAAACGAGUGGGAAAGCUUCUAUUCACCUCCUCUGCCUUUGUUUGUAUCUCCACGCUGCUGUCAUUGUGUGCCAACUUCUCUAACCAGUCUCCGGAUUUCAUGUAGUGGACAAACAUAAUCAUCAUUGACAUAUUUUUCCUUCUUUUUGCUUUCUUUAUUCCUAACUUCUCAAUGUCAGUCAGCGGACUAUUAUCGCAGUAGCCAUUGUUGUAGAGUUUUUGUCGCAGGGUUACACAUAAAGCGUGAUUUCUGUGCCUGGUGACAUUGUGUAAAAAAAUUGUGUGUAGUGUUGUACUGCAUUUCUAUUUUGGACAGGUUUGUUCUAAGUAUACUACCUGCAUAACUGGCAACUGAUGGAAUAAAACAAAAUCACAUUUGACCUUAA